GUGUCAGCCGCCGCGGUAAUACGUAGGAUCCUAGCGUUGUCCGGAUUUACUGGGUGUAAAGGGUGCGCAGGCGGACUUAUAAGUCAGUGGUGAAAUCUCGGCGCUUAACGCCGAAACUGCCUUUGAUACUAUAAGUCUUGAGUUUGGUAGAGAUCCGUGGAAUUCCGAGUGUAGCAGUGAAAUGUGUAGAUAUUCGGAAGAACACCAGCGGCGAAGGCAGCGGAUUGGGCCAAUACUGACGCUCAGGCACGAAAGCAUGGGGAUCAAACAGGAUUAGAUACCCUCGUAGUCC
rnacentral:rRNA from 1 species